rnacentral:lncRNA from 1 species
ACCCCAGAGGCGAGGUGACUGGUUCCAGUUCAGGAGCCACAGAAAGAAGCUCUGACUUGACUGCUGACUUUUGAGAACACGUGUGAAGGAGACAGGUAGGUCUCAGCCUUUAG